AUUGGGCGUAAGGGCUCGCAGGCGGUUUCUUAAGUCUGAUGUGAAAGCCCCCGGCUCAACCGGGGAGGGUCAUUGGAAACUGGGAAACUUGAGUGCAGAAGAGGAGAGUGGAAUUCCACGUGUAGCGGUGAAAUGCGUAGAGAUGUGGAGGAACACCAGUGGCGAAGGCGACUCUCUGGUCUGUAACUGACGCUGAGGAGCGAAAGCGUGGGGAGCGAACAGGAUUAGAUACCCUGGUAGUCCACGCCGUAAACGAUGAGUGCUAAGUGUUAGGGGGUUUCCGCCCCUUAGUGCUGCAGCUAACGCAUUAAGCACUCCGCCUGGGGAGUACGGUCGCAAGACUGAAACUCAAAGGAAUUGACGGGGGCCCGCACAAGCGGUGGAGCAUGUGGUUUAAUUCGAAGCAACGCGAAGAACCUUACCAGGUCUUGACAUCCUCUGACAACCCUAGAGAUAGGGCUUUCCCUUCGGGGACAGAGUGACAGGUGGUGCAUGGUUGUCGUCAGCUCGUGUCGUGAGAUGUUGGGUUAAGUCCCGCAACGAGCGCAACCCUUGAUCUUAGUUGCCAGCAUUCAGUUGGGCACUCUAAGGUGACUGCCGGUGACAAACCGGAGGAAGGUGGAGAUGACGUCAAAUCAUCAUGCCCCUUAU
rnacentral:rRNA from 1 species